AGCAGGUGCACCGUUCCCCCAUUGGAUGGGGAUUGCCGUCAAGCUCUGCCACAACCGGGUUUCCUUCGCUCGUGCGGCGGCGGCUUAUGGCUCGUUGGCGACAGCUUUAGUGCAGAUAUGUCCUGGCUGAAGGCGGUCCAGUGGGGAGUGCAGCCUGGCUGCACAGCUGCACAGCAGUGACUCUGCCAGGGACAAGCAAGGAAUGGGGAACUUGAUGGUUCCUUCUGCAACACUCAAGUCGCAGCAUCACAUCCCAGGAAGCAAGACUUACCAGUAAAGCACCAAAUCCUGAUGUUUACUUAUAAAGCUACCACUUGUUGCUCGGUUGCCUUUGGAGGCACUAAUUAAUAGAAAAUGUAGUUAUAGAAAUUCUUGAUUGGGUUUCCCAAUAUAUUAGGAUAUAACAGAACUGAUAAAUCGGAGUGCAGAAAACCAAGAUGACUUUAAUUGUCUAAAUAGAGCAGUAUGUAUAACUUUGCUGAAUGUACGCUUGGGUAAGACAAGUCAAUUGUAAAUUAGGUUUAAUCUACAAAACACUAGGUGAACACACAUAUGCUUUUAAAUUUAAUCUCAAUUUCACAGUGAUGUUACGAUGGUUUACCUUUCUUUUGUACAAUAGCUUUGUUUUCAGUGAAGGUCCUGAGAUGAAAUCUGUUUCCUGUUCUGAAUUUCAGGCCCUUCACAAGGACGUAGCAGAUUCCUAUAGGCUGGAAGAGAUUUCAGGAACCAAGUAUCCAGCCUCAAGAAAAUGAAUGGAAGUAUAGGUAGCAUUACUAGGUGCACAGUACUACUCUUUAGUGAGGGUACAUUGUGGCAUCUUGUUGGAAAAGGGCAGAUGAAAGACCCUGUUCUUUGCUAGUUCCUAACUUUAGUCAGGCAUGGAAAUAUGUCCUUGGAAUGGUCUCCGCUUGUUUUGAACUCCCUAGUCACUGUUGCAAAGCAGGUAACUCCCAUGAAUAGCAACGCUGAUGGGUGUGGGUUUUAGAGAGCUUGAAAAUCAGGAUUAGGAGAGGAAUUCUGCAUUGUCUGCUGACAAGACAGAGCACUGCAGUCUGCAGGCUGACCUUGGCAUGCUUGAGGAAAUAAGACAGUCACUGUGUGACCUUUUUACAGCUGUUGCAGGUGGCUGCAGACCAUGUCAGCAGGGCUGGAUAUGUUCUUAGAACUGCUCCUCAGCGCUAACUUGGCCUAAGAUCUGACAGUGGAGUCCAGCAAAGCAUCUUUGUACUGUCAGCAUAAAAAUAGGCCAAUCCCCUGAUCUGUAGCCAUUGUAACAGAGCCAUUCAACUCUUUACAUUUUAUGCUAUGUUCAAAUGGUCUUUUGAAAAGGUGAAAGAAAUGAAAUCUGUUUAAAACUUUAAUUCUGGAAACAGUUUUCACUCAUUUCAAGAAAGGAUUUCCAGAACUUGGGGGUGACAAUUCAGCAAAAUUCUUACAUAAACUAUAGCAGAAUUGUUUAUGUCACCAUCACAGCUCCAGUUUCAAGUAGUUCAGACAAGAAAAACACCAAGCCAAAGUGUAAUCUGGCUUUGGGUAAUUUAAAUAAUUGCAGGCUUGUGGGGCCUUGCCAGGUCUUGUAAUGCAGACAUUUAGAUCAGUGAUGAUGUAGAAAGAAUAAGACAGAGCUGCCUUGAUGGAAAGCUUCGUAUUAGCUUUGAGUCCUUCUGCAAAGCUCCAUUAAGAGAUUAACACUGACAUAAAAAUGCCCAUAGACACUACUUUGUAUGUUUCCAUAAAGUUCCAUACCAUUACCUGAAAAUUUAAACACAUUUUAUAUGAAAAGAAAUUCCUUCAGUGCUUUGCUUAACAAAUGUGUCACUGGAUAAUGACUUACUCCUAAGUAUUUUAGACAUUCAGCUGUUUGUAAUGUUGAGUUAGAAUCUGAAGAAAGUUUUAAAUAACAUUUUUCAGUGGAAUGCUUAACUCUCUUAAGGUUUUUAUCCUUUCUUGAAAUCCUAGUUACUAGCUUUUCAGAUCAGAGGCAGUUCUGUCUGGCAUCCAGCAGUGUUAUCCUUGAAUUCAGAAAUUUGAAAAAAAGGCUGGCAUUAAGCAUUCCAUUUCCCAAAGAGUUUGUACUGAGCUCUUAAACGUCUGUGUUGUGUAUCACUUCCCUGCCUCUUACAAAGACCAUAGUUCCAAGUGCGAAGCGGACAAGGUAGCUGAUUUUCUGUCUUGCUAGAAGGAAUUAAGCUAGUGUAAUUUCCCUACUGUAUCUAACUCUUUGCUGUGGUUGUCUAAAUAAAGGGUAUUUCUUUUCA